rnacentral:misc_RNA from 1 species
GCCAGCACGCAUGCGCGAGGCAGUGCUGAAAACAUCGCCAUUGAGAGGUGUACGUGUUGUUGUGUGGCGCGAGUUUGACCCAAUAUUACCCUUGUGUCGCGAGUUACCGAGGAUCUUACAGUGCGUUCGUGCGUUGUGAUGUGCUAUGUGCCACUCCCACACCUGCACCCCUCAGUAUAGUGUGCGAGGAUAGCGAAAUAAGAGGAGCACCACAAGAUGAGCACGGGAAGUGGGGAUGCAGCCUCCACCCCUGAAGCCACGACCCUCCCCACCACCAUGAUGGACGCCUCCACCACCAGCCUGCCGCCCCUCACCUCCCCCGGCACCAUGAGUCCCACCAACAUACCCAUCGACGACCUGCCCUUUGUCCAGACCACCGCUGCCCAGGCCAUCGCGGGGGCCUUUGUGUGGGCAGCCCUGCUCAUCACUUGUCAUCAGAUCUACCAACACCUCCGUUACUACAGCAACCCGGCAGAGCAGAGGUGGAUAGUGAGGAUUCUUCUGUUCGUCCCCAUCUACGCCUUCGACUCCUGGCUUUCCCUCCUCUUCUACAACAUGGACAACUACAUCUACUUCAACACCGUCAGAGAUUGCUAUGAAGCGUUUGUGAUCUACAACUUCCUGAGCUUGUGUUACGAGUACCUGGGUGGUGAGGGGAAUAUCAUGAGUGAGAUCAGAGGAAAGCCCAUCAGGUCCUCUUGCAUGUACGGCACCUGCUGUCUGGCGGGGAAGACCUACACCAUUGGCUUUCUGAGGUUUUGCAAGCAGGCGACACUUCAGUUCUGCUUCGUCAAACCCGCCAUGGCGUUCAUUACCAUCAUCCUGCAGUUUCUUGGGAAGUACCGCGAUGGGGACUGGAGUCCUGAAGGCGGCUACCUCUACAUCACCAUCAUCUACAAUAUCUCGGUGUCGCUGGCCCUGUACAGUCUCUUCCUCUUCUACUUUGCCACCCGGGACUUGCUGCAGCCCUAUGAUCCGGUGCUCAAGUUCUUCACCAUUAAGUCCGUCAUCUUCCUCUCCUUCUGGCAAGGUGUGUUACUUGCCAUCCUGGAGAAGGCAAACGUGAUCAAGGCCGACCCACACCUCAAUACUGGCACUGUCUCCGCCGGCUACCAGAACUUCAUUAUCUGUGUGGAGAUGUUCUUCGCCUCGGUGGCCCUGCGCUACGCCUUCCCCUACCAGAUCUAUGGGGACUUCACUGUCUCUGGCCCAGGUCGUAGUGUCACCAUGCAAAGUAUCUCCUCCUCCCUCAAGGAAACCAUGAACCCUAAGGACAUCAUGACAGACGCCAUCCACAACUUCCACCCGCAGUACCAGCAAUACACCCAGUACAGUGCAGGGGGAGGAGGCCGCCCCACACAGGUACUGACGCAGAGCCACGACAUGGAGGAGCUGCGACCUGACCUCCUGCCCGUCUCCACCUCCACCACCACUGCUGGCACCCCUGACCCCACCAGCACUGCCACCACCCACCCUGCACGGGGCCCUGGCGGCGGCAGUGGUGGUGGGGCAGGGACCACUGUGGUGGGGUCAGGCCUCAGUGUCAUCUCGAGUGCUGUUCCCUCAACAACACAGGCCCAGCAGAUUACUAGGCUGCCUCCACCGCCCUCCAAAGGAGGCACCACCAGAGGCUCAGGACACACCGCAGUGAGCACAUACGAUGCAGAUGAGGCGCCCCGCUCAAACAGCAGCAACGGGAUUAACGGCAUGAGUGGCAGCCACGGGAACAGUGGUGGCGGCACAGGAGGGGGCGGAAGGGGACCACAGAACGGAGGGCGGAAUGGAAAUGGACGGGUUGCUUAUAAUGAGAAGACGAUGCUGUUGAGUUCUGAUGAUGAGUUCCAGUGAGGUGGUGAGGGUUGAAUGUCAUCCGAACCUCAAAGGUACAGCUGACACGAAGCAGUCUCCUCCACACACGGCAGGAAGGAAGGAAGGAAGGGAGGAAGCCAGGCACCAAACACCAACUCAGACCUUUAGUUCACUUGUCCUGCAGAACCGGGGAAAAACGUCUUUCGUUAAUGUGGGAUCACACUUUAGCAGGAGAGCUGGUGGGAUGGGGGGGUGUUUGGCCAGAUGUCACACUGGUGCUUCAAGCUGCCUAGGAAACUGUUCUGUACAUUCUUUUUUGGGUGCAUCAUAGCCCUUUGUGUUUCUCCACCUCCCUUAAUUCCAUCAUCAUUAUUGCAUCAUUGUCCUUCCUCCUGUUCCUCCUCCUGUUUUCCUUGUCACAAAUGGAGCGUUCAUGACUUGAGUUUCAUGUUUUAUUUAUUGGAAGUCUGCUAUGAGUCUGUUUUUCUUUUAAUAUAGCAGGUGGCGAGAAUGACUGACUGAAUGAGUGUGUGUGUUGUCAUGUCAUUUCAUCUUGUCUGUGUCCAUCUCCCUGAUUCUUCCAAACGUGAUGCUGUGUCGUGCAAGUCAAGUCAGAAACAUUACUGUGGACUUGACAUUAUGAUACCCUGGAAGAACUGAGGCAUUCCUAACUGUACAGCCUUGUGAGCAUUCCAAGAAAUCAGUAAAUACAAUACAUACCACAAUUCUCAGUAAAGUAAGAAAAUGCAACAAAACAUUUUAUCACUAGAAAAUUGAUAUGACCAUUCCAUUACCCUUGUCAGAACUGUAGCGACUGACAGCGCGUGUGGAGUGUGUGAGGAGUACAUAGGGAAGGGGAAAGAUGUGCUGGUUCUUAGUUGUCUCACCAAGAGUUACAAUUAAACAUCUCUCAAGAACAUAUUUCACUUCACGUGGUAGCAGUGUAGCCUCGGGACGAUUCUUUUGUCACAAUAACUGCAGAAAAAAACAUCAAACACGGAGGUGGUUCCUUUAUAUGAUUUCCGUGGAGUGUGUUGUGGAAAUCUAGUGUGUGUGUGUGUGUGUGUGUGUGUGUGUGUGUGUGUGUGUGUGUGUGUGUGUGUGUGUGUGUGUGUGUGUGUGUGUGUGUUGGUGGACAGGUGUGGUAUGUCAUUACUAGCUGGUGCUUAGGAAUGGUCAGUAGAUGUGUUUUAUAAUGAUAUGAGUGGUCAGUUAGAUGAAUUUGUCUUUAGAAUAUUGAAAUUUGUGAAGCUAUGUACACACACACACACACACACACACACACAGAGUAAUAGAUCAAUUAAUUAAUUACACAAAA